GCACUGCUGAGGAGUCCCAUAAUAGGACGAAACAGCUGUCCAGUGU
rfam:Schistosoma mansoni strain Puerto Rico chromosome 2, complete genome